rnacentral:tmRNA from 1 species
GCCAGAUAACUGGCAACACUUCUUACGCACUCGCUGCCUAGUCAGUGAGCGUCCUCCCGGUCUCCCCUUCGCGGGCCGGGAAGGGCGAAAGAAGCGAAGGUGCGGUCCGCUGAUCGGCUGGUAGGCGAACUCAAGAUUUCCGGCCUGGGGGAGCCAAGAGCGCGUCGGUGCGCGCUAGGAGCCCUGAGACAAAAAAACGCCGACUACGCUCGUAGAUGCGCUCAUUUCAACGGCCUUGGACGGGGAGUUCGACCCUCCCCCAUCUCCACAG